GGAUGUGAGGGCGAUCUGGCUGCAACAACUGUCAGCCCUUUUAUCAUCAGGGUUGCUUUGGCUGAUCUGGCUGGCUCUGCGUGUGUCCCCUUCCGCCCUCACCGCUCCAAGUUUGUGUCUCUCAAAGCUGCACGCUCAGUGGCAGAGGGCGACCACACCUGAUAGUAGCUGAGCCCCCAUGCUAGAACCUCCAAAGAAGUUCUCCAGGUCAAGACCAGCACAAAAAAGGACUUUAGUCAAACAGACGUGCAACAUGGGAUGGGAUGAAAUCCCCAUUU
rnacentral:sRNA from 1 species